GACGAACGCUGGCGGCGUGCUUAACACAUGCAAGUCGAACGGAAAGGCCCUGCUUUUGUGGGGUGCUCGAGUGGCGAACGGGUGAGUAACACGUGAGUAACCUGCCCUUGACUUUGGGAUAACUUCAGGAAACUGGGGCUAAUACCGGAUAGGAGCUCCUGCUGCAUGGUGGGGGUUGGAAAGUUUCGGCGGUUGGGGAUGGACUCGCGGCUUAUCAGCUUGUUGGUGGGGUAGUGGCUUACCAAGGCUUUGACGGGUAGCCGGCCUGAGAGGGUGACCGGCCACAUUGGGACUGGGAUACGGCCCAGACUCCUACGGGAGGCAGCAGUGGGGAAUAUUGCACAAUGGGCGGAAGCCUGAUGCAGCACCGCCGCGUGCGGGAUGACGGCCUUCGGGUUGUAAACCGCUUUCGCCUGUGACGAAGCGUGAGUGACGGUAAUGGGUAAAGAAGCACCGGCUAACUCCG
rnacentral:rRNA from 1 species